AUGAUAUCAAAAGAUGUAUUUGCUUGGAAGCAGAACUACAUUAAAUUUCUGAAAGAGAUGCUGCUUUAACAAGCGCAAUUAUUCCAGUUAUUUUCUUUCUCCCAAUUUAGGUUCCUAUAAUUGUGGAAACCAGAAAUAGGGCUUAUUUCUUAAAACUAAUAGCCGGCCAUCAUGAUCAUACAUCACCAGUUCAAUGUAAAUGCGUUAUGACCUGCAACUAUCCAAGGAAUAUUAUCACUGGAAUGGUAUGGACGGUAUUCCUCUGGCUGAGGACAGGCACUAGUAGCAGGCUUGUGUGAAAUUGUCAGUGAACGUUUUGGUUCCAUAAAAAUGUUUCGAACUUCUUGAAUAGUGGAGUGAUUGUUAGCUUCUGAAGAAGGGUUCGUUUCCAUGGCAUCCAUGAGUUGUGUUCUGUGCAUGGCUUCUUGCGGAAUAUCAAGGACGAUGCCUGUUCAUGGUGUUCAUGGUGUAGAUCGAAACUAGGCCCAUAGAGGAGGUGAUAAAGAUGCAAUGCAGAUACCUCAACCAGCCUUCGCUGGACACAAAAUCAGAGUUCAGUGACAGCAAAGGAGACUAAACUGCAUCAGAUGAUGAUAACGAUUGGAACAGAUGUGGAUGGAAGCAGUAAUGGUAUAGACUGAGGGUGUUUGAGAACAGGGUGUUGAGGAGAAUAUUUGGACCGAAGAGAGA